rnacentral:tRNA from 1 species
UCUGUUUUAUGGUGUAGUACAUAUUGCACUUUCAUUGCAAAGCCGAAACUUUAACGUUUCUAAAACAUUUAACAUGUGCCCA